rnacentral:rRNA from 1 species
AGUAGGUCCCAAGGGUUGGGCUGUUCGCCCAUUAAAGUGGUACGCGAGCUGGGUUCAGAACGUCGUGAGACAGUUCGGUCCCUAUCCGUCGCAGGCGUAGGAAAUUUGAGAAGACCUGUCCUUAGUACGAGAGGACCGGGAUGGACGUACCUCUGGUGUACCAGUUGUUCUGCCAAGGGCAUGGCUGGGUAGCUAUGUACGGAAUGGAUAAGCGCUGAAAGCAUCUAAGCGCGAAGCCAACUUCAAGAUAAGAUUUCCCACCGCAAGGGUAAGACCCCAGAAAGACUAUCUGGUUGAUAGGUCGAAGGUGUAAGUGCAGCAAUGUAUUUAGCUUAUCGAUACUAAUAGGUCGAGGACUUGACCAAU